UCGAACGAAGUAGCAAUACUUAGUGGCAGACGGGUGAGUAACAUGUAGGUAUCUGCCCUUUGGCCUGGAAUAACACGAGGAAACUUGUGCUAAUACCGGAUAAGUCUUUACGGAGAAAGCUUUAUGCACCAUUGGAUGAGCCUGCACUUGAUUAGUUUGUUGGUGGGGUAAUGGCCUACCAAGACUGUGAUCAAUAGCUGAUUUGAGAGGAUGAUCAGCCACAUUGGGACUGAGACACGGCCCAAACUCCUACGGGAGGCAGCAGUGGGGAAUCUUGCACAAUGGAGGAAACUCUGAUGCAGCGAUGCCGCGUGAGUGAAGAAGGCCUUUGGGUUGUAAAGCUCUUUCGUCGGGGAAGAAAAUGACUGUACCCGAAUAAGAAGGUCCGGCUAACUUCGUGCCAGCAGCCGCGGUAAUACGAAGGGACCUAGCGUAGUUCGGAAUUACUGGGCUUAAAGAGUUCGUAGGUGGUUGAAAAAGUUAGUGGUGAAAUCCCAGAGCUUAACUCUGGAACUGCCAUUAAAACUUUUCAGCUAGAGUAUGAUAGAGGAAAGCAGAAUUUCUAGUGUAGAGGUGAAAUUCGUAGAUAUUAGAAAGAAUACCAAUUGCGAAGGCAGCUUUCUGGAUCAUUACUGACACUGAGGAACGAAAGCAUGGGUAGCGAAGAGGAUUAGAUACCCUCGUAGUCCAUGCCGUAAACGAUGUGUGUUAGACGUUGGAAAUUUAUUUUCAGUGUCGCAGGGAAACCGAUAAACACACCGC
rnacentral:rRNA from 1 species